AAUACGGAGGUGGCUAGCGUUGUUCGGAAUUACUGGGCGUAAAGGGCGCGUAGGCGGCAUGGCAAGUCAGAUGUGAAAGCCCCGGGCUCAGCCUGGGAACUGCAUCUGAAACUGCUUUGCUUGAGUCCUGGAGGGGGUAGUGGAAUUCCCAGUGUAGCGGUGAAAUGCGUAGAUAUUGGGAGGAACACCUGCGGCGAAGGCGGCUACCUGGACAGUGACUGACGCUGAGGCGCGAAAGCUAGGGGAGCGAACGG
rnacentral:rRNA from 1 species